AUUUACUUAGAAUAAGUUUUUUUUUACAAUAAAAUUUUCCUUUAUUUUAGAGGGUUCUAAA
rnacentral:tRNA from 1 species